CAUUAAGUAGCUUAAAUCAAAAAGCAUUGGUCUCUUAAAUCAAUUAUAGUAGUUAUUUUACUCUUAAUGA
rnacentral:tRNA from 1 species